rnacentral:sRNA from 1 species
GCGUCAGCCACGGUUAAACAGGGG